rnacentral:lncRNA from 1 species
UGGGAAUCAAACCCAGGUCCUCUACAAGUGUUCUUGACUGCUGAGCCACCUCUUCAGCUCACUCAAAUCGUUCUAAGACUGUCAAAAAAUCAAUUCGUAAGUCAGGAAAAAGUCAUUUUUAAAGAUUGUUGCUUUGGUUUUGUGUUUGGAAAAGUCUUAUAAAAUGGUAUAAAUGACAUAUGAUAUGCACGAAAACAAUGUACAAAUGUAUAACUGAGUUAAGUCUUAUGAAAUGUACAUAUCCAUGAAAUUGGUACCCAAAUCAACAAAUGAUUAUAAACAAUUGACUAGCCCCUAAAUCCGGUGGGCGGACAUGACCUCAGUUCAGUCACUCCAGGGCUGCUGCUGAACCUCAUUGUGGCACCUCUGAAAGUGGUGCUUGUGUUGUCCUUAGAGUGAAAGGAUUGUAUGGCACAUAUGUUGUUUCUGUGUUCCUUGUGUAAUAGAGCUGUGAUCCUGAACUACAUCAUUUUAUGAGCAAAUAUGACAUUAUAUAAUAAUGUAAUCUAUUGAUACAUGCUAUAUAAACGUUGACCAGAUAUUUGUAGAUUGACUGUAAAUUAGGCAUUUAUUUUGAAACUUUUUAAUGUUUACACCACUUUACUUUUAUUAGCAUAGACCCUUAGAUGGAGACAUUGUAGGCUAGAAUGCAGUUUUAAAACUUAUUUGACCUACUUAUACUUUACAUUGAGAAAAUAGUCACUAUAUUUUUGGCACUUACUUUUAAGGCAAAGAAAUGUUUAUGAAGACAGUUUUGUCAGAUCAUUGACAGAUUAGUGAUAAAGAAUGAGCGCAUGCAUGUGUGCGUGCAUGUGCACAUGUGCGUCUUGCCCUCAGGAGGAUGUCAGAUUCCCCGCUGUAUCAUUCUCUGCCUCAUUCCCUUUUGAGACAGGCAUUUCACUGACACACCUGUCGCUGUCCUCUGCAGUGCUAGCAUACAGGCACGUGCACCCAUGCCCAGCUUUAUGCUUGCUGACUGGGAUCUGGACCAAGCUCUCUUGUUUGUAUAGUGUGUGCUCUUACCCACCAAGCCACCUUCUCAGCCUCCGAUCUCUUUUUUUCAAUCAGUGCUGAUAACUGCGAUUAAAGUUUUUAUGGUUGAAAAAAAUUUAAACUAUUGGUAAAUUUACUGAUUUUUGUUUUUUUCCCAACCCCUGUUUUCAGAAGAAAAUGUAUUUUUUGAAGAAGUUUUGUAUGUAUAACGCUAAGGAUUGAGUAGAGGGCACGUAGUAAGCAAGCAUUCGGCCACUGAACCUCAGCUCUGACCCUUAAAAGAACUUAAUCUUUUUUUUUAGAUUUAUUUAUUUAUUAUAUGUAAGUACACUGUAGCUGUCUUCAGACACUCUAGAAGAGGGCGUGAGAUCUCAUUAUGGAUGGUUGUGAGCUACCAUGUGAUUGCUGGGAUUUGAACUCUGGACCUUUGGAAGAGCAGUCAAUGCUCUUAACCGCUAAGCCAUCUCUCCAGCCCCAAGAAUUUCAUUUUUAGAACAGUUUGAAGUUUGUUUCUAGGAAACCUAAUGUCAGGAUUAAUUAAUGGAGAAAUUAAUUCCCAUAAAAUUAAUAUACUUUAAAGUUUUAUGUAUUUGGACUAAAUAGGUAAAAUUUUAAUUUUUCUUAAAUCUAAUUUGGGAUUUUAAAAUAUUCAACACACUGGAACCAAGAAUGCAUUGCAAUGGUGCUUGCCUACUGUGUUUGUGUUCUGGGUUCAGUUUCUCAGGACUCCAAAUAACGUACUGUAUUUUCUUUAUAAGUAACUAAUUGAAUAACAUGAUUUGUUGCAUCUUAUCUAUUUUGUGUGCAUGUGUAUGUGCCUGGUUGCAUUUGCCAUGGUACACAGGUGGAGGUCAGAGGACAACUUAGGGAGUCAGUUCUCGUUCCAUAAUGUGGCCAAGGGGAUAGAACUCAGGUUGUCAGGCUUGGCAGCAAACAUUUGUACCUGCUGAGCUGUCUCCCUUUAAUUUCCAAAUUUUAAACCUAUUUUGUGGAUUAAAUACUUAAUAAAUAUGGUAAAAUUUAAUAUGCUAUAAAGAGCUAAUAAAAUUAAUUUUAAAAUUAAGAUCUUACUAGGUGAAUGAACAAAGGACAAUUC